GGUGGGAUGGCCGAGUUGGUUAUGGCGCCAGGUUAAGGUUACUCUUAACACUAACUCCUGGUUCGGAAACGAGCGUGGGUUCGAGUCCCACUCCCAUCA
rnacentral:tRNA from 1 species